rnacentral:rRNA from 1 species
GAGACUGCCGGUGUCAAACCGGAGGAAGGUGGGAUGACGUCAAGUCCUCAUGGCCUUUAUGACCAGGGCUACACACGUACUACAAUGGCAGGUACAAAGGGCAGCCACUUAGCGAUAAGGAGCGAAUCCCAUAAAACCUGUCUCAGUCCGGAUUGGAGUCUGCAACUCGACUCCAUGAAGUUGGAAUCGCUAGUAAUCGCAGAUCAGCACGCUGCGGUGAAUACGUUCCCGGGCCUU